CGCUAGUCACUCCGUACGGGAGGCAGCAGUGGGGAAUAUUGCACAAUGGGGGAAACCCUGAUGCAGCCAUGCCGCGUGUGUGAAGAAGGCCUUCGGGUUGUUAAAGCACUUUCAGUAGGGAGGAAGGUAGUGUAGUUAACACCUGCACUAUUUGACGUUACCUACAGAAGAAGCACCGGCUAACUCCGUGCCAGCAGCCGCGGUAAUACGGAGGGUGCGAGCGUUAAUCGGAAUUACUGGGCGUAAAGCGCAUGCAGGCGGUCCUAGUUAAGUCAGAUGUAGAAAGGCCCGGGUCUUAACCUCGGAAUUGCAUUUGAAACUGGCAGGCUAGAGUCUUGUAGAGGGGGUAGAAUUUCAGGUGUAGCGGUGAAAUGCGUAGAGAUCUGAAGGAAUACCAGUGGCGAAGGCGGCCCCCUGGACAAAGACUGACGCUCAGAUGCGAAAGCGUGGGGAGCAAACAGGAUUAGAUACCCUGGUAG
rnacentral:rRNA from 1 species